GGCGAUACAGCUCAUUUGACAGAGUGCUUGCCUUGCAUGCACAAAGUCCUGGGUUCACUCCCCAGCAUCACCA
rnacentral:tRNA from 1 species